AUACGUAGGUGGCAAGCGUUGUCCGGAAUUAUUGGGCGUAAAGCGCGCGCAGGUGGUUCCUUAAGUCUGAUGUGAAAGCCCCCGGCUCAACCGGGGAGGGUCAUUGGAAACUGGGGAACUUGAGUGCAGAAGAGGAUAGUGGAAUUCCAAGUGUAGCGGUGAAAUGCGUAGAGAUUUGGAGGAACACCAGUGGCGAAGGCGACUGUCUGGUUUGUAACUGACACUGAGGCGCGAAAGCGUGGGGAGCAAACAGGAUUAGAUACCCUGGUAGUCCACGCCGUAAACGAUGAGUGCUAAGUGUUGGGGGGUUUCCGCCCCUCAGUGCUGCAGCUAACGCAUUAAGCACUCCGCCUGGGGAGUACGGUCGCAAGACUGAAACUCAAAUGAAUUGACGGGG
rnacentral:rRNA from 1 species